GCGGCUGUGGGCCUUCCUGCACAGCGCGUCUUGCAGCGGGCUGGAGCCCGCUUAGUCAGCGCCACAUCUGGCCCGUUUAGUUUUCUGCUUGUGUCUCCUUAGCAGGUUUUCCUGGGGUGUUGCUUAAGCAACCGACUUGUGGGGGUGGGGUGGGUUUGGGCGGGGCGAGUGCGUAGCGCUGGUGUUUUCUUUUCUGGCGCGCGGUGGUGGUGGUUCUUGCGGUUAGGCUGUGGUGUAGGUUGGUGCUUGGGUUAGGUCUGGCGGUGUUUUUCUGCAACCCCUCCCAGGGGGCGGGGGCGGCCAGCCUCCUGCUCUGUCUGCCGGGUCGGGGUGGGGUGGGGUGGGAUGGAUGGGGGUGGUUGGUGGCAGUUUCGAGGUGUUUGCUUUCGGUUUCUUCUCUUUUCUUCUCUUCUUGCCCUGUCAGGGUUCUGGUCUCGGGGACCAGGCUGCUUUCAGGCAGCAGGGGGGCAGCGCGUCUGCCCCUGUUCAACCUUGUAAGGAUGAUUCCUCAAAAAAAAAAGCGGCGCCGCCAGUGACGGACGCGGGCUUCAUGCUGGGGGACCGCAUGGGUAUGUGGGCCUCAGGCCCGUGGGGGGCGGGCACGCUGCUGUGGAGCACUUUGCGGGCCACCUUCUUGUACGCCGUCGUCUGGUGUGCGUACUGGUCCCGCGAGCCUGCUAAGCAGACGUCGGAGCACGUGGUUCGGGAGGUGGUCAGCGAGCUGCGCCAAGUGAUGCAGCUGCGUUUCACUGCCGCCACGCUAACCCCUGAAACCCUGUCGGCUCUGCCCACACAGAUUGCAUUGGUUACAAGAGGGACUUGCUGACGCGAGUCACGAGCGACAUCUGCUCUGGACCUCAGGGACGUGCCACCUGCAUCGCCGACGACCUACUCUAGUAGUAGGCUUGCUCUCGUAAGAGCUCCAUUUACCUCCGGUUCUGCUCCUAACAUCGAGUGCUAGGACCCUGCUCAAUCACCCGACCAACCAGAACUACUGGAUUUUUGGGAGUCCGCAGCAAACCUUCCGGACUGAAUUCAGUCAAAUCAACUAAGGCCUAAACUCGUCCAGCCCACUGCAUGUCCGUAGUCUAUUCAUUCCGAUUGCAAUCGGAGGGGUGUAUGGGGGUCGAACCCAUGACCUCGAGCGAAUCCGUCCCUUGACGCUAUCCACUCGAAGCGGAACCGCCCACACAGCUUCUCACCGCGCAGCUCCAGGCGGCUAAGCUGGAGCACUUUGUGGCCGUCUGGACGGCGGGUGGCGCGUUUUGUGAAGUGGAGGAGGUUCAGGGUGGGUCGCCAAAGUUGAACUUGCGGCUGACGCUUGCAUCACCUAUGCAGGCCCCCUAGGUUUCCUUUUGGGCGGCGUAUCUUUCCAGGCGCUGGCGUGGCGUUUUAUCAUCAUCAGCUUACCUGGCGCCCAUGAGUACUAGCUCUGGCUGGAGUCGCAGCGCCUGGGCGGCUGUGGGACUUCCUGCACAGCGCGUUGUUUGCAGCUUUCUUCUAUGUCUUGCAGCGGGCUGGACCCCGCUAAGUCAGCGCCACAUCUGGCCCGUUUAGUGUUUCCUUAGCAGGUUUUCCUGGGGUGUUGCUUAAGCAACCGACUUGUGGGGUUGGGGUGGGUUACGGCGGGUCGAGUGCUGGUAGCGCUGGUGGUUUCGCUUCUGGCGCGCGGUGGUGUGUUUUCAGGUGGUGGUGUAUCUUGCGGUCAGGUUUUGUUGUAGGUUGGUGCUCGGGUUAGGUUUUGCGGUCUUGUUUCUUCUCUUCUCUUUUCUUCUUGCCCUGUCGGGGUUCUGGUCUCUGGGGCCAGGCUGCGUCGGGUCCUUGUGCCCAGCAGUUGGGGGGCAGCGCGUCUGCUUCCGUUCAAUCCUGUAAGGAUGAUUCCUAAAAAAAAAAGCCACUUCCGCGCCUGCGUGUAAGCGGGGCACUCCAGGAAGACAUGCGUCAGGCUGGCCCACGCCCGCGGACCAGGUGGCCCGCAGGCGGGG
rnacentral:lncRNA from 1 species